GAUUCUGGCUCAGAACGAACGCUGGCGGCAUGCCUAACACAUGCAAGUCGAACGAGACCUUCGGGUCUAGUGGCGCACGGGUGCGUAACGCGUGGGAAUCUGCCCCUCGGUUGGGAAUAACACAGAGAAAUUUGUGCUAAUACCUUAUAAUGUCUUCGGACCAAAGAUUUAUCGCCGAGGGAUGAGCCCGCGUAGGAUUAGGUAGUUGGUGGGGUAAUGGCCUACCAAGCCGACGAUCCUUAGCUGGUCUGAGAGGAUGAUCAGCCACACUGGGACUGAGACACGGCCCAGACUCCUACGGGAGGCAGCAGUGGGGAAUAUUGGACAAUGGGCGAAAGCCUGAUCCAGCAAUGCCGCGUGAGUGAUGAAGGCCUUAGGGUUGUAAAGCUCUUUUACCCGGGAUGAUAAUGACAGUACCGGGAGAAUAAGCUCCGGCUAACUCCGUGCCAGCAGCAGC
rnacentral:rRNA from 1 species